CGCCUGGCCCAGAGUGGGAUCUUAAAGCAGAGUCUGGCUCAAGAUUGAGACAAUUCCCAGCAGAAUGAAUGGAGCAGUAACACAGUCAGAAGGCCCUGAGGGAGGCAGGUGGCUCUCUCUGUUCCUGCCAGCACUCUCUCCCCCACUUCUGAUAACAGACCUGCCGUACCAUGGGAAGAUGGCCAAAAAUGGCCGCCCACGGUACUUGUUCCUCGGCUACAGUAAUUGGUCCAUGUGUAGGCAUGUGACCCAUCAUGACCAAUCAUAGCAGCCCACUUCUGAGCGGGGGCACAGCAAUUGUUCCAGGUGUAGUCAUGUGACUCAAGCAGGGCGAAUUCAGGAUUGUCUGCAGAGCUUGUGGGGAGGAUGUUUCUUUCUCUCCCUCCUCCUCUCUGGCAUCCAGGCCUUAAAGAGGUAGACUUGGCACUACCAGUGGCCUCAGACAAUAAGGCCAAUAAGCAGAGAGGAGGAGAAAUGAAACAUGAGGUGAGGGGGUUAGGACAGGAAGAGAACCCAGAGCUUCCAGUCCCUGGAUCCUAGAGAGCAAUACAGCCUCUUCCCUUUCCUCAUCGUAGCUACCCAGUGAAUAAAUCCCUCGUUCUACCUCAUUCAGAUCAACUUCAGUGCCUGUUGUUUGCAACCCACAGUGUCCCAAUUCAGGACUUGGGAACUGUUUUCCUUUUCAUGGAUUGUGUAGAACUGAAAGGGAUACGUCAUUCUCAGAACUUAUAUUCUUGUUCCGAUGUGCCAGCUGUACUUAAAAAUAAAAGAAUCCCAGACCCAUCUCCAUGUUCACCACCACCCCUCCUGUUAAUUUCCUGCUGAAUUGCAGCUCAACGCAUGUGCUGGGAUUUCAAGUCCUGCCCUAAUCAAUUUACUACCACCUCCCCAACCUUAACCCCAACCUACACGCACCUUCCUACGCUGGCCUGUGCGUGCAGCCUGCCCUGGCCUCUACUGUGACGCCUACCACGUUAUAUUUGUAAUGAUUUGUUUAUGACUGUCCCCAUACUAGGGAAGGCAUCGAGCUUGAGGAAGAGGCCCCAUUCAUCUCCGUACCCCAGGCCCUGGUACACAGCAGGCAGCUCCAGGCGGGCACGCAUCUUUGUUGUGUUCUCUGCUGACUAUAUCCUCAGCACCUAGAACUGUGUCUGUCACCUAAUAGAUGCUCAAUAAACCUGCCAGUAAUUUCAGCAAAUGAAACGUGGAACACGUCAAGGCCAGAGGAUGGAAAAGGCUCCAGUUUUGAUAAAAGGAGGCCUGCUUGGCUUGGAAUCCUCUCUCCUGCUGGUUGGGAGAUGCAAAGAUGUUUCCAGAGAGGGGCUGAUGAAUUGAGGGGAAAGAAAUGAGCCCAGUAUGAGUCCCCUUUCAGGGCUGAGCGUGUAUAAAACCAAACAACUUGGAACCGCUCCAAGAGAGGGGAUUAAAGCAACAUGUUAUUCUGAGUGAUUGCUUAAUUUAUUGAGCUGCGGCUGGAUCUGUAAUGAAAUACAGCCCUUGUAACUGAUAACCUCCUGCUGCCAUUGAACUUCUACAAUUAAGGAAUAUUUUCUGAGUUUCUCUGGAACGGCUCUGAAUUUUUAGCCUCUGUGGUAGGGUGCUUCUGAACAUUUGUUUUCCAGGCAAUUUUUUUUGAGUAUUAGGCUGAUGUUAAUAAAUAAGCAGCAUUUUAUUGAGUG
rnacentral:lncRNA from 1 species